AGAGCGAACGCUGGCGGCAGGCCUAACACAUGCAAGUCGAGCGCCCCGCAAGGGGAGCGGCAGACGGGAGAGUAACACGUGGGAACGUACCCUUCAGUUCGGAACAACCCAGGGAAACUUGGGCUAAUACCGGAUACGUCCGUAAGGAGAAAGAUUUAUCGCUGAAGGAUCGGCCCGCGUCUGAUUAGCUUGUUGGUGAGGUAACGGCUCACCAAGGCUACGAUCAGUAGCUGGUCUGAGAGGAUGAUCAGCCUCACUGGGACUGAGACACGGCCCAGACUCCUACGGGAGGCAGCAGUGGGGAAUAUGGACAAUGGCGCAAGCCUGAUCCAGCCAUGCCGCGUGGGUGAUGAAGGCCCUAGGGUUGUAAAGCCCUUUCGGCGGGAAGAUAAUGACGGUACCGCAGAAGAAGCCCGGCUAACUUCGCGCCAGCAGCCGC
rnacentral:rRNA from 1 species